UGCGCGGUUAGUUAAUCGGUAGAAUGAAACCUUCCCACUUAAGAUUAAUAAGGAAAAAGGUUUAGAGCCGGGUUCAAUUCCCGGACUGCGCAU
rnacentral:tRNA from 1 species